UACAGAGGGUGCGAGCGUUGUCCGGAAUCACUGGGCGUAAAGGGCGCGUAGGCGGCUUGAUACGCGUGCGGUGAAAGCCCGGGGCUCAACCCCGGGUCGGCCGUGCGAACUGUCGAGCUGGAGCACUGUAGAGGCAGGUGGAAUUCCGGGUGUAGCGGUGGAAUGCGUAGAGAUCCGGAAGAACACCGGUGGCGAAGGCGGCCUGCUGGGCAGUGGCUGACGCUGAGGCGCGACAGCGUGGGGAGCAAACAGG
rnacentral:rRNA from 1 species